rnacentral:lncRNA from 1 species
GAGCCGGUCGCCUCGGCAAGGUCUCCAGGAAAUGGGGUGGUGCAAAAGACCCUCCAUGUUGUGCUUUUGUUUCUAAGGCUAUGGUGCCUCUGCUAUCCUUUUGUCUACAGAGACAGAUGAGCUGUUCCAGAUCUACAUAAAAUGGGAGGUGACGUUAUGGGACACGUAUGUCAUUGUCUCAAUUGUUCUUUCUGUUCACUUAUGUUAGCUAUUUUUGUUGGAUCUGUGUGUGGAUGUUGUGGAACAAAGGCCUUUCUCUCCUGCCUCUAAAUGCAUAAAUAUGCAAACCCUUGUUAUUGAUCUGAAAGGAUGUGGUGAAAUUUGCACACUAGAUCUUACAUCCAACUUGAGUAAUAUCCAAAGCUUCCAUUUGUCCUUCAUAACAUUGUUUAUACAGAUGCACAAUACCUGCCUUCGCUGUGCAAAGGAGAAAGAGGUCUGCUGAGAGCUCCAGUUCAACAGACAACCUCAACAGUCACCUCUCUAUUUAGAAGUCCUGAAGUUGAACUGGCUUAAGUGCAACUACGUAUGGGCUAUACAGAUUUAAAAAAUAAUAAUAAAAAAAGGUUGAGAUGUCUGAAUCAGAUGUCUGAAUCUAGGCAGAUGAGAGGACAAGAAAAUAAUGCCAAAACGGAACUCUUUCAGAAGACAAGAGCCAAAAUGUACCUGGAAGAAAAACAAACAAACAAACAAACAAAAAAACAGAUUAAGAGACAGGUUCUGUAUAACUUAAGUGGUGAAAUUUGA